CGAAGGGGAGGCUAGCGUUGUUCGGAAUUACUGGGCGUAAAGCGCACGUAGGCGGAUAUUUAAGUCAGGGGUGAAAUCCCAGAGCUCAACUCUGGAACUGCCUUUGAUACUGGGUAUCUUGAGUAUGGAAGAGGUGAGUGGAAUUCCGAGUGUAGAGGUGAAAUUCGUAGAUAUUCGGAGGAACACCAGUGGCGAAGGCGGCUCACUGGUCCAUUACUGACGCUGAGGUGCGAAAGCGUGGGGAGCAAACAGG
rnacentral:rRNA from 1 species